AUACAGGAUUCAGCUUCUGUUGGUUGCUGAGGCUGUAUGACGAAUUGGAACCACCAAGUUCCUGUAAGAGAACGUCUCAUGACUGAAGUAUUCUUACGGAAUUCUUGUUAAAAGGGGUGUUAAACCAGAUUUCAUAAGUAACAUUCACAUGAGAAUAAAAGACUUUACAUUAAUAAAAUAUAUUCAAAUACCUG